CAGACGUGUGCACUUCUGAUUGUCUGUUUUGGGGGUGUUGGGGCUCUGGGGUAAUUACUAGGGUACUUUAUGGGGCAGGCUAAACUGGGAU